rnacentral:sRNA from 1 species
UUGCUUACAGUCGAUUGACCUAUAUAUU